GGGGGGGGGGGGGGGGGGGGGGGGGGGGGGCGGGGGGGGGGGGGGGGGGGGGGGUGGGUGGGGUGCUCGGGUGGCGGAGGGGGGAGUGAGACGUGAGUAACCGGCCCUGGACUUUGGGGUAACUUCAGGAAACUGGGGCUGAUACCGGAUAGGAGCUCCUGCUGCAUGGGGGGGGUUGGCAAGUUUCGGCGGUUGGGGAUGGACUCGCGGCUUAUCAGCUUGUUGGUGGGGUAGUGGCUUACCAAGGCUUUGACGGGUAGCCGGCCUGAGAGGGUGACCGGCCACAUUGGGACUGAGAUACGGCCCAGACUCCUACGGGAGGCAGCAGUGGGGAAUAUUGCACAAUGGGCGGAAGCCUGAUGCAGCAACGCCGCGUGCGGGAUGACGGCCUUCGGGUUGUAAACCGCUUUCGCCUGUGACGAAGCGUGAGUGACGGUAAUGGGUAAAGAAGCACCGGCUAACUACGUG
rnacentral:rRNA from 1 species